ACUGCUAUGCUUUCACCAACAGGUCCAGUUUGGAUUCCGGCUCAGUGUGUGAGACCUAUCAAUUAUUAAUGAACUAGUCAGGGACUUCACAACCUGAUCCGCAAGUUGCAUUUCAUGCUGGAUGAAGAGAGUCCCAUCAAACAAGAGGGCAAUGAUUACUAUCCUUGAAAGAGAAGAAACAUUAAAAGAGAAUUCCAAGCUACUAGACAUCCAGUGACUUGGGGGAAAUACAAAAUUAUUACCAGCAUCAGCUCAACAGUUUUUGGCUUAAAUGGGAUUAAAAUGUACUCCAGUCACUACUUUAAUUGCUAAACCCACACAAAAUUCUGUAAAUGCUUUGGUUUUGACAAUAAUGUUUUUCUGUUGUACCCCAGCUGUGAAAAUUCAGUACAAACUCCUUGACUUCUAAAACCCAUUAUAAUAUCUAGGUUUGCUUGGCUGAAAUUGUUAUAUACCUGCAAAAAUGUCUCAUGGUACCCAUUGUUGUCUUGGCAGACUGUUUUUACCAUCUUCAGGAUUUAAUAGGCCACCAUCCUGCACAAAGCAUCUUUAAAAGGUCUAUUCCCCUUGAUAAAAACUGUGCAGAUUCAGUGAGCAUUCUCUCUAAGGCAAAAUUUGACGUUUUGAUGUUUUCCUUAGUGGGUAUCCCUGGACUAGCUGUUAGGGCUUACAAAACCACUAUAAAACUGGCCUAUGCUAUAGUAAAAAAAUAUUAAUCAUAUCUCUGUGGCAAGUAAUAUACUUAAUGAAGAACAAAAGCAACAUCAUCAAGCCAUACUUGACAAUCAGGCCACAAUUAAUUAUUUGCUAUUAUUACAUCAUAAAGGGUGUCAGGAGAUUAAUAAUAUAUGUUGCUUUAAUUUAAGUGAUAAUAAUAAUUCUGUUUCAAAGGAGAUAAAUUACCUUAAAGAUAUUGUUAAAAAGAUCCAGCCACAUGAUGGAGGUUUAGACCUAUUGGAUUGGCUAACUUCGUGGUUACCCAACUUUACUUGGGUCAAACAAUUAUUCAUAGAUGGAAGUUUACUAACACUGGGAUUGUUAUGUUGUCCUUGCUGUUGUCAAUGCCCACCCUAUAUUUUUGACUCUACCAGUAUUAAAAAGAAAACAGACAUUAUUCAUCCAAAAGGCCUUAAAAAACAAGAAAGGGGAAAUGUGAGGGUUCUGUGUAGGGAUUGGGGUCCCUGAUGACUGCAUUGCUAUGGCACGCUUGGUGCCUGGGAAAGUUUCUGUGCAAAGGCAUAGGAUACCCAUUGCUAUGGUAAUGCCCUCCAUGCUAGAAUCUUAUCAGCUUCUACCUUAAUCUUGGGUACAUAACUCCUGGGAAAGGAACUUACUUGCUAGAUAACUACAAUGUUUUGCCAAGCUCUGGUGUUCCUGGAUCUGCCUGCUUAACAGUAACUUUAGCCAAUGGACUUUUUUGAAAGCUGCACAAAGCUCCUGACAUUGCAUAUUGUAACUGUGAAAUGUAACUGCAACUGCAGAAUAAGAAACCUGACUGGUACUCUAAACAAUAAUGUAGUUAUGGGACUAAUGACCUAAUGUAACCUAUUGAUAUAAAUAAAGUUUGGCCUCUUGGUUUCUUAGCCAC
rnacentral:lncRNA from 1 species